UUGAACGCUGGCGGCAGGCCUAACACAUGCAAGUCGAACGGUAACAGGAAGCAGCUUGCUGUUUCGCUGACGAGUGGCGGACGGGUGAGUAAUGUCUGGGAAACUGCCUGAUGGAGGGGGAUAACUACUGGAAACGGUAGCUAAUACCGCAUAACGUCGCAAGACCAAAGAGGGGGACCUUCGGGCCUCUUGCCAUCGGAUGUGCCCAGAUGGGAUUAGCUAGUAGGUGGGGUAACGGCUCACCUAGGCGACGAUCCCUAGCUGGUCUGAGAGGAUGACCAGCCACACUGGAACUGAGACACGGUCCAGACUCCUACGGGAGGCAGCAGUGGGGAAUAUUGCACAAUGGGCGCAAGCCUGAUGCAGCCAUGCCGCGUGUAUGAAGAAGGCCUUCGGGUUGUAAAGUACUUUCAGCGGGGAGGAAGGGAGUAAAGUUAAUACCUUUGCUCAUUGACGUUACCCGCAGAAGAAGCACCGGCUAACUCCGUGCCAGCAGCCGCGGUAAUACGGAGGGUGCAAGCGUUAAUCGGAAUUACUGGGCGUAAAGCGCACGCAGGCGGUUUGUUAAGUCAGAUGUGAAAUCCCCGGGCUCAACCUGGGAACUGCAUCUGAUACUGGCAAGCUUGAGUCUCGUAGAGGGGGGUAGAAUUCCAGGUGUAGCGGUGAAAUGCGUAGAGAUCUGGAGGAAUACCGGUGGCGAAGGCGGCCCCCUGGACGAAGACUGACGCUCAGGUGCGAAAGCGUGGGGAGCAAACAGGAUUAGAUACCCUGGUAGUCCACGCCGUAAACGAUGUCGACUUGGAGGUUGUGCCCUUGAGGCGUGGCUUCCGGAGCUAACGCGUUAAGUCGACCGCCUGGGGAGUACGGCCGCAAGGUUAAAACUCAAAUGAAUUGACGGGGGCCCGCACAAGCGGUGGAGCAUGUGGUUUAAUUCGAUGCAACGCGAAGAACCUUACCUGGUCUUGACAUCCACGGAGGUUUUCAGAGAUGAGAAUGUGCCUUCGGGAACCGUGAGACAGGUGCUGCAUGGCUGUCGUCAGCUCGUGUUGUGAAAUGUUGGGUUAAGUCCCGCAACGAGCGCAACCCUUAUCCUUUGUUGCCAGCGGUCCGGCCGGGAACUCAAAGGAGACUGCCAGUGAUAAACUGGAGGAAGGUGAGGAUGACGUCAAGUCAUCAUGGCCCUUACGACCAGGGCUACACACGUGCUACAAUGGCGCAUACAAAGAGAAGCGACCUCGCGAGAGCAAGCGGACCUCAUAAAGUGCGUCGUAGUCCGGAUUGGAGUCUGCAACUCGACUCCAUGAAGUCGGAAUCGCUAGUAAUCGUGGAUCAGAAUGCCACGGUGAAUACGUUCCCGGGCCUUGUACACACCGCCCGUCACACCAUGGGAGUGGGUUGCAAAAGAAGUAGGUAGCUUAACCUUCGGGAGGGCGCUUACCACUUUGUGAUUCAUGACUGGGGUG
rnacentral:rRNA from 1 species